rnacentral:rRNA from 1 species
CAAUAGCGUAUAUUAAAGUUGUUGCAGUUAAAAAGCUCGUAGUUGGAUUUCUGGUGGGAGCGAUCGGUCUGGCGCUUAGCGCGAGUACUUGCAUCGUCUCCGGCCAUCCUUGGGGAGAGUCUGUCUGGCAUUAGGUUGUCGGGCAGAGGAUCCUCAUCGUUUACUGUGAAAAAAUUAGAGUGUUCAAAGCAGGCUUAUGCCGUUGAAUAUAUUAGCAUGGAAUAAUAAGAUAGGACUUUGGUACUAUUUUGUUGGUUUGCGCACCAAAGUAAUGAUUAAUAGGGACAGUUGGGGGUAUUCGUAUUCCGUUGUCAGAGGUGAAAUUCUUGGAUUUACUGAAGACGAACUACUGCGAAAGCAUUUACCAAGGAUGUUUUCAUUAA